rnacentral:rRNA from 1 species
CCGGUACAAGCGGGGUAGGUGUACAAUAGGCAAAUCCGUUGUAUAAUCCGAAGACGUGAUGUGGAGCGAAAUAAAGUAGUGAAGCGUGUGAGCCAUGUGCCGAGAAAAGCUGCUAUUGUGUAAUGCGUGCCCGUACCGUAAACCGACACAGGUGGAUGAGGAGAGAAUCCUAAGGCCGGCGGAAGAAGCAUUGUUAAGGAAUUCGGCAAAAUGACCCCGUAACUUCGGGAGAAGGGGUGCCUGCGAGAGCAGGCCGCAGAGAAUAGGCUCAAGCAACUGUUUAGCAAAAACACAGGUCUAUGCGAAACCGAAAGGUGAAGUAUAUGGGCUGACGCCUGCCCGGUGCUGGAAGGUUAAGAGGAGAGGUUAGCUUCGGCGAAGCUUUGAAUUUAAGCCCCAGUAAACGGCGGCCGUAACUAUAACGGUCCUAAGGUAGCGAAAUUCCUUGUCGGGUAAGUUCCGACCCGCACGAAAGGCGUAAUGAUUUGAGCACUGUCUCGACAAUGCAUCCGGUGAAAUUGAAGUACCAGUGAAGAUGCUGGUUACCCGCGCCAGGACGGAAAGACCCCAUGGAGCUUUACUCCAGUUUGAUACUGGGAUUCGGUACUGCAUGUACAGGAUAGGUGGGAGACGAAGAAGGAUGGACGCCAGUCUGUCCGGAGCCAAUGUAGGGAUACUACCCUUGCAGUACUGGGUUUCUAACCAGCAGCCGUGAUCCGGCUGGGGGACAAUGUCAGGUGGGGAGUUUGACUGGGGCGGUCGCCUCCGAAAGGGUAUCGGAGGCGCUCAAAGGUUCCCUCAGAAUGGUUGGAAACCAUUCGAAGAGUGCAAGGCAGAAGGGAGCUUGACUGCGACACCGACGGGUGGAGCAGGUACGAAAGUAGGACUUAGUGAUCCGGUGGUAUAAAGUGGGAUUGCCAUCGCUCAACGGAUAAAAGCUACCCUGGGAUAACAGGCUUAUCACUCCCAAGAGUUCACAUCGACGGAGUGGUUUGGCACCUCGAUGUCGGCUCAUCGCAUCCUGGGGCUGAAGUAGGUCCCAAGGGUUGGGCUGUUCGCCCAUUAAAGCGGUACGCGAGCUGGGUUCAGAACGUCGUGAGACAGUUCGGUCCCUAUCCGGCGUGGGCGUAAGAUAUUUGAGAGGAGCUGUCCUUAGUACGAGAGGACCGGGAUGGACUGGCCGCUGGUGUAUCUGUUGUCUUACCAAAGGCAUAGCAGAGUAGCCAAGCCGGGAAGGGAUAAACGCUGAAGGCAUCUAAGCGUGAAGCCCCCCUCAAGAUGAGAUAUCUCAUAACGUCAAGUUAGUAAGACCCCUUGAAGACGACGAGGUAGAUAGGGCAGAGGUGGAAGUGUGGUAACACAUGGAGCUGACUGUUACUAAUAGGUCGAGGGCAUAAC